AAAUUUUGUUAAUCAUAAAAAUUGUUCUCCCAAGAAGUAUACUGGAAAUAUCCAGAUGUGGAGUUAUAAUUAAAAAUGAAGGCAAAAUAGCUUCCCUUAAAAGAAGUGAAACUAUUAAUUCCAAUCUGCAGAGCUGAUAAUGAAAGUGAAAAUGCUGUCAUGUAUAGAUACUGAGAAGUGUUGGGAUUUGAAUUUCAUCACUGACCAUCUGG
rfam:Oryctolagus cuniculus cont2.8490, whole genome shotgun sequence.